AGCAGCCGCGGUAAUUCCAGCUCCAAUAGCGUAUAUUAAAGUUGUUGCAGUUAAAAAGCUCGUAGUUGAAUUUCGGGGUUAGUAGGUUGGUCAUGCCUCUGGUAUGUACUGGUCUCACUGAUUCCUCCUUCCUGAUGAGCCGUAAUGCCAUUAAUUUGGUGUUGCGGGGAAUUUGGACUGUUACUUUGAAAAAAUUAGAGUGUUUAAAGCAAGCUAACGCUUGAAUACAUUAGCAUGGAAUAAUGAAAUAGGACGUUCGAUCCUAUUUUGUUGGUUUCUAGGAUUGACGUAAUGAUUAAUAGGGAUAGUUGGGGGCAUUAGUAUUCAAUUGUCAGAGGUGAAAUUCUUGGAUUUAUUGAAGACUAACUACUGCGAAAGCAUUUGCCAAGGAUGUUUUCAUUAAUCAAGAACGAAAGUUAGGGGAUCGAAGACGAUCAGAUACCGUCGUAGUCUUAACCAUAAACUAUAGCCGACUAGGGAUCGGAUGAUGUAAUUUUUAAUGUACUCAUUCGGCGCCUUA
rnacentral:rRNA from 1 species